AUGAGAGUUUAUCACCGCAGGGUGUCGCUGUUGUUGCCUGUGGCCGCGUGCAUGUGUGUAUGUAAAUGUGCGCGGGUGAGUAUGGCGUCACCACAGUCACGUUGUUUCCCGGCCAGGCGGGGUUAAAUAGCGGAUGUGUGCCGCAGACCGGCAGAUUAGCCCGGCUCAACAGCCUGCUGUAGACACCGAGAACAGCCCGGUUAUUUUACCUGAUCGGACGAGGCUCCUGCUCAGACUACCAUCGGCUCUUUUUGUCCUCGUCUCCCCUCUCCGGACUCUACGCGUCUCGGUUGUUGUGUUGCUAAGCGACUCUCCAGUCCUUAAGGAAUGCCCAGAGAGCUGACCCAGAACAGGAUCCAGAAGAUCUGGGUGCCCACCAAGGAUGACAAGCCGGCGGCACCCCGGAGAGCGGCUGGCGCCCCUCACUUUGCCAACCCUCCCACCGUCAUCGUGAUGGUGGGUCUUCCCGCCCGGGGCAAGACGUACAUGUCCAAGAAACUGACCCGCUACCUCAACUGGAUCGGCAUGCCCACCAAAGUCUUCAAUGUUGGAGAGUACCGUAGGGAGGCAGUCAAGAACUACAGCUCCUACGACUUCUUCAAGUCUGAUAAUGAAUGUGCCGUGAAAAUCAGGCAGCAGUGUGCCUUAGCAGCCUUGAGGGAUGUCAAGUCCUAUUUGAAGGACGAGGGAGGCCAAGUCGCGGUCUUUGAUGCCACAAACACAACAAGAGAAAGACGAGAUAUGAUCCUGCAGUUUGGAAGUGAGAACGCCUUCAAGAUCUUUUUCAUCGAGUCUGUCUGUGAUGAUCCCAGCGUCAUCGCAUCCAACAUCAUGGAAGUGAAGGUGUCAUGUCCAGAUUACCGGGACUGCAACAAAACUGACGCUAUGUUGGAUUUCCAGAGGAGAAUUGAGUGCUACAAAACCAGCUACCAACCCCUGGACCCUGAUCAGUAUGACAAGGAUCUCUCCUUCAUCAAGGUGAUUGAUGUGGGUCGUCGCUUCCUAGUUAACCGGAUCCAGGAUCACAUCCAGAGUAAGAUCGUCUACUACCUGAUGAACAUCCACGUCCAGCCCCGCACCAUCUACCUGUGUCGACAUGGAGAGAGCACCGACAACCUGGUGGGGCGGCUGGGCGGUGACGCAGGGCUCUCGCCACGGGGCAAACAGUUCUCAGCUGCCCUGGCUCGGUUUGUGGAGGAGCAACAGCUGAAGGAUCUGAAGGUUUGGACCAGCCAACUGUGUCGCAGCAUCCAGACCGCAGAGCACCUGGGAGUCCCUUAUGAACAGUGGAAGGCUCUCAACGAGAUAGACGCUGGGAUAUGUGAAGAGAUGACAUAUGAUGAGGUGAAAGAGAAAUUCCCAGAGGAGCUGGCUUUGAGAGAUGAAGACAAAUACUACUAUCGCUACCCUGCUGGAGAGUCCUACCAGGACCUGGUCCAGCGUGUGGAGCCGGUCAUCAUGGACCUGGAGAGGCAAGAGAACGUCCUGGUUAUCUGCCACCAGGCUGUCAUGCGCUGCCUGCUGGCCUACUUUCUGGAUAAGAGUGCAGACGAGAUGCCCUACCUGAAGUGUCCCCUCCACACAGUGCUGAAGCUCACCCCAGUCGCCUACGGGUGCAAAGUGGAGUCCAUCUAUUUGAAUGUGGAGGCGGCAAACACCCACAGAGACAGACCAGAGGAGGUGAAGAGGGGUCCCGGCACCUUGAUCAGGCGGAACAGUGUGACUCCUCUGACCAGCCCGGAGUCAAACAUCAAGAAGCCGCGCAUCGAUGAGCUUGAUGAACCUCCGAUCCAGGAGCUGCAUCCAUCUGUAGCCUCUCUGGCACUCUGCAGCCCCUCACACCUCCCUCUCGCCCUGGCCGGACAGCACUGGCUGGGCAAAGUUUGCCUACGAAACCUCCUCGAAUAUCUGAAAGUGGUUUCACUAGUUUUUCAAAGGUAAACAUGCUGUAGCGGCUUCGCUGUUGCUUCAUACUGUAGUCCUGCCAGCAGCCACAUCUGACACUAAUAACUUUAGAUGAUUAUCUGCCAACCUAACUAAACCAGAUUAUUGUGACACAUCUCACACGCUAAAUCAUAAUCAUUCUUAGAAACAAACUCAUGUUAAGGGUUUUUUAUGAUUAAUUGAGAUGUUUUAGAAGAACUGAACUGUUAACUAAAUAACUCGGACUCAUUUAGCAAAGCACCAUGCUAAAGUUAGCUUCCAUUAGAAACACGUCAACAGUAUUGAAAAGCUAAAUUAAAAUAAUAAAUAAUAAUUUCCAAUUCAGAAACAAACAUAAUCCUCAUUGAGUGCAUGAGGGUAAAUGGCAUGUAUGCACUAGUUUUACUAGUAUAGUGGAAAAGCGAGGAUAACGCUGUUGGGUGUGUGAGGAUCUUGUCAGCUUCAUUCAGCUUCGUUCUCAACUGAGGAUUAACUUUGUGCAGAUACAAACACAAACAGUCAGCCACAGCAACCUGUUCACACUCUUGUGGACUCUGGUAGUUUUCACGCCCUCUAAAAAUAUCAUAGAGGAAAUUAAGGGCUGAGAAAACACAGAACCUGAGGAGAAGAUCAUCUAGCCGCCAUGACCUCCUGCAGCCCUGCCAGUAAAACUGCACCUAAAGAGGCUGGAAAGUGGAUCGCUGACAAAGACUCACUGAAAACAGCAGCACGAAACAAGGAAAAGUCCAAUUGAGGAGGGGGGGGGGGGGUGUUCUGUUUGUAAAUGUUUCAUUUUGUCAGCCAAGGACACGAAUAACUGGACCAUGGUUAUUUAACUGCUGUCCUAUCAGAUAUUUCCGUUCAAAGAUAUGUCAUUUCAAAGCAAGACUCUUAAUUGUCCCUUUCUUGCCAUUGUCAGACACUCUGAGACUGAAGAAUCUGUGUUUUUCUGGAAACCUUUAACUUUGUCACGUGAAGAAUGAAUUCAGACUGAAAGAGGCAAACUGUGACUCAUUUCAGUGCACAUUCCUGUUACACCUCACAGCUCAGAUGGCUCUCUGGGAAACCAGUUUAUACUGGAGACCAAAGACCAACCACCACUCCCAGGUACACUUUUCAGCCCAUCCUUUUUUAAACUUAUGGUUUAGUUUACAUUGUAAACUUUUUUGGCACUUCUUGAGAAGCACUGGUGUUAUACAUGCACACUUUUCGAAUGUGCAUCAGAAGAGCGUCAUGAUUUAAUUGACUCCUUUGUAUGCUGACACUAAAAAAUAAGCGAUUAUUUUGCACAUUGGGGAUAAAUUUGUACUUUUUUUGUGUCACUGUAUUUUUCAUGUCACACAACUUCACUAAAUGGAGGUGAUUUUUGCCGUAGAGUGCCUGUAGUGCUUGUUUUGCAAGCCUUACGCCGCUUCUCUUGCCAUUUCUCUGGAAUUGAUUGCUCGAGGAGGGGCAACACAUUUCACCUAAUAACUCCACAUAUCACGUCAAUAUUUUACUUUUUCAGUUUGAAUAUUUAUUUUUCAUUGUUUAUAGUUUUAACGCUACAGUGCAUGCUGAUCAUUCAACAGAGUUCUUAAUUUUCAAGUUUAUUUUCCUUGAAUUCCUUUUGCUGUCAUUGUCUGCUACGCACAAAUGUAAGCACCUAUAUUUUUGUUAUAACUAUGCGUGCUGUUAAUAAUAUCUUUGUAAAUGUUAGUGUACAUACAGUAUAACUGGAAAAACAUGGGAGAUCUUGGGAUUCUUUUAAUGAAAAUGCCUGUAGAAGUAUUUUUGUACUAAUAGCAAGCACAUCUGUUGAGGAAGAAGCUGCUGAGUAAAACUUUUGUUAACAUGUUUGCUUGAGAUACUUGAAAUUUGUUUUUUGUAAAAACUUUUAUUAUAUUCUUUAUUUAUUUAUAUGUAGUUCUGAAUGCUUGGAGCGAGAGACACAUUGUUUUAAUCUGAGGACUAUGCAUGAGAGGACAGUAUGUUGUACAGUUGAUUUUGCAUCUGCUGGACCAAUAAAUUAACUCCUAGAAAAUAUA